CUGGCAAACAUCGUUACCCAAUUACUUUGAUGUAGCUAUGGAAGAUAUUAAACUUAAAGAAGGAUCUGACACGAUUUUCUUAAUCAAAGGAAAUGUUGAACAAAAAUUUGACCUGGAUGAUGAAUGGAAGGUGGAAAUAAAACUCUUCCAUAGUGAUACUGCUGACGGUGAAUACACUGAAUAUGCGUCAUUUCCCGAGUUCGGGGUCUGUGCUUUCAUGAAGUCGCUGUAAAGAGUUACUUUUAUCCAGCUAUGAAGGAGUGCUCGAACCUACCAGAUCCUGAAACGUGUCCGAUAACAAAGGCGAAGUACCAUGCCAA